AUGCUUGGGGGUGUCCCUUCUGCAGCGUCCCCCGCUGGGACAGCCUGGUGCGGUGCCGGGGAGCGGGGCAGAGCCCUUAAUAAGGACACCAAGUGGUGCGGGGAUGCCAGGCUCGGCCAAGGGACCCCCGGGGCCGUGCAGGUGGGCAGGUGGCGGGGGGGGGACACGGUGAGGCAGGGCCGUGCCAAGCAAGGCGGAGGGGCCGGGCGAGCCGUGGGCGCUGCCCGGUGGCCGGGGGAUGCCCGGAGCCGUGCCCGGAGCCGUGCCCGUGGCCGUGGCUGCGCGCUCAGGGCGCAGCGCUUGGCAUCCCGGAGUCCCCCCGCCCGGCCCGCCCUGUCCGUCCCCCCGGGCUCCGGUUUCCCUGUCGGAGGCAGAUGCUUUCGCAGCCCUGUCCCUCCUCCUCCUUCUGCGGAGCAGCCUCCGCGCCGCGCUCCAGCCGCCCGGAGGUGCCUGCCCGGCCCAGCCCAGCCCGGCCCGGCCCGGCCCGGCACGGCCCGGCCCCUCCGGCCCCGGGCUGGCGGAGGGAGGCAGCGGGCACCCAGCCGCGGGGCCCCGGCCAGCCCCUCCGCCUUCCUCGGGGGGGCUCGGAGGGGGGCUCGGCUCUCCUCGCUGCCCCCCCGCCCCCGGCAGGAUGUUGCCCCCCUCCCGGACCCAGCUGGGGCUCUUCUUCAUCCUCCUCUGCCCCGCCAACAUCAUCGGGCUCUGGUGGGCAGUGGGGAGCCCCCUGGUCAUGGACCCCAACAGCAUCUGCCGCAAGACGAAGCGGCUGGCGGGGAAGCAGGCGGAGCUGUGCCAGCUGGAGCCGGAGAUCGUGCAGGAGGUGGCCAAGGGCACCAAGCUGGGCGUGCGGGAGUGCCAGUACCAAUUCCGCUUCCGCCGCUGGAACUGCACCAGCCACAGCAAGUAUUUCGGCAAGAUCCUGCAGCAGGAUAUCCGAGAGACAGCCUUCGUGUAUGCCAUCACGGCGGCCGGCGUCAGCCACGCCAUCACGCAGGCCUGCAGCAUGGGCGAGCUGCUGCAGUGCGGCUGCGAGCUGACCCGCAGCAGGGCCCCCCCCUCGCCCACGGCGGGGCCGGGCACCGAGGGCACGGCCUGGGAGUGGGGGGGCUGCGG
rnacentral:lncRNA from 1 species